rnacentral:lncRNA from 9 species
UUGCUGAACGUCUGCUUUGUGCUUUUCCUGAAUGUUCACUCUAGCAGCUCCUUUUCAAUAUCUCCCAGCAGCCCUCGUCCAGCCAGGUUCUACAGGUUGACGUUUGUCCUUUUCGCUCAUCUCUGGAUUCCCUCAGAGACAGGACGUCUGGGGAAUACUGGGGUUAGCCCACAGGUGGCCACGCCCCCUCCUGGAGGCAGGUGCCAUUGCAUCAGCAGGUCGUCAGCUCUCGUUGACUGCCUCAAAUCCCAUCCGUCCCCCCCUCCCCAGGCUCCUCCUGCUCCCACACCUCACAGGUCUCAAAGACUUACCCUUCCUUUCAGGUCCUCAGGGGGACAGAGAGGUGUAAAUGGAAGCUCCUGUAAACGACUGUUGGCUUUCCCCCAGGUUCUCUGGAUCCAGGUUCUCUUGGUUUCCCCACGACUCUGCUGUCUACUGACUUCCUCUCAUAACAAACUUCUCAAGAAGGAUUGGCUCCGCCAUUUCCUUAACAGUAAAGAAGAGAUAUAUUCGGGGAUCAGGGGCCACCAGCCAAAAUAUACAUUGCUACCUUUGUAUCCGGUGCUUCUGUGGCCACAUCAUCUAAUCGCCGAUGAUCAGAACAGUGAACACAUGUGGUGAGAAGAAUUUCAGCAGAGGCGGAAGGCACCACCAGCAGCUUUCUGAAACGGAGCUGUGAGCACGAUGAAUUUAGAGACGAAAGGGACCUCCCUGCUUGGAGAAUUUUCCUAAGAAACAGUGGACUGUUCGCUCACGGGGCUCCAUGUGCUCUAAGUGUAGUUAUAGACCUCUUUCCUAUGUCAUGUCCCCUACUGGGAUGAAGUGUUAUUUUGACUGACUUGUCGAAUGCUGUGGCUUUAAGAGGGGUUGUGAUGUCAGUCCAUCCACUCUUACAGCUGAGUCAUCAGACAUUUACGGAUCAAGUGAACCUACUUGGUCACAUCUGGGAGUAAACCUAGAAUCUGUGGAUUCCCUUUACAGUGGCUUUCCACUGUCCAGUCUCUCUACUGUAUGUGAUCUUAAGGUAGCAAUUCAAAUAAAGUGCAGUGUAGUUUUC